rnacentral:rRNA from 1 species
UACGGAGGGGGCUAGCGUUGUCCGGAAUUAUUGGGCGUAAAGAGCUCGUAGGCGGUGUGUCACGUCGGCCGUGAAAACCUGCAGCUUAACUGUGGGCGUGCGGUCGAUACGGGCAUCACUGGAGUUCGGCAGGGGAGACUGGAAUUCCUGGUGUAGCGGUGAAAUGCGCAGAUAUCAGGAGGAACACCGGUGGCGAAGGCGGGGUCUCUGGGCCGAUA